GACGAACGCUGGCGGCGUGCUUAACACAUGCAAGUCGAACGGAAAGGCCCUGCUUUUGUGGGGUGCUCGAGUGGCGAACGGGUGAGUAACAAGUGAGUAACCUGCCCUUGACUUUGGGAUAACUUCAGGAAACUGGGGCUAAUACCGGAUAGGAGCUCCUGCUGCAUGGUGGGGGUUGGAAAGUUUCGGCGGUUGGGGAUGGACUCGCGGCUUAUCAGCUUGUUGGUGGGGUAGUGGCUUACCAAGGCUUUGACGGGUAGCCGGCCUGAGAGGGUGACCGGCCACAUUGGGACUGAGAUACGGCCCAUACUCCUACGGGAGGCAGCAGUGGGGAAUAUUGCACAAUGGGCGGAAGCCUGAUGCAGCAACGCCGCGUGCGGGAUGACGGCCUUCGGGUUGUAAACCGCGUUCGCCUGUGACGAAGCGUGAGUGACGGUAAUGGGUAAAGAAGCAUCGGCUAACUACGUG
rnacentral:rRNA from 1 species